rnacentral:rRNA from 1 species
UACGAAGGGUGCUAGCGUUGUUCGGAAUUACUGGGCGUAAAGCGCGCGUAGGCGGCUUUGCAAGUCAGGGGUGAAAUCCCACGGCUCAACCGUGGAAUUGCCUUUGAAACUGUAAAGCUUGAGUAUCGGAGGGGAGUGCGGAAUUGCUAAUGUAGAGGUGAAAUUCGUAGAUAUUAGCAGGAACACCGGUGGCGAAGGCGGCACUCUGGACGAUAACUGACGCUGAGGCGCGAAAGCGCGGGGAUCAAACAGG